rnacentral:pre_miRNA from 1 species
UAAAUACUCCCUCUGUCUUAUUGUUUUAGAUUUGUCUAGAUAUGAAUAUAUAUAGUCACGUUUUAAUAUUUAGAUACAUUCAUUUCUAGAUAAACCUAAGACAAGAAUUUUAGGACGAAGGGAGUAUAAG